CGAGGGGGGCUAGUGUUGUUCGGAAUCACUGGGCGUAAAGGGAGCGUAGGCGGGAGCUCAAGUUGGGUGUUUAAUUCCGGGGCCCAACCCCGGGCGUGCACUCAAAACUGGGCUUCUUGAAUAGGGGAGAGGUCGAUGGAAUUGGAGGUGUAGCGGUGGAAUGCGUAGAGAUCUCCAAGAACACCGGUUGCGAAGGCGGUCGACUGGACCCAUAUUGACGCUGAGGCUCGAAAGCGUGGGGAGCAAACAGGAUUAGAUACCCUGGUAGUCCACGCCAUAAACGAUGAAGACUAGGUUUUAGGCCCGUCAACGGUCUAGAGCCGUAGCUAACGCGUUAAGUCUUCCGCCUGGGGAGUACGCCCGCAAGGGUG
rnacentral:rRNA from 1 species